AAAUUGAAGAGUUUGAUCAUGGCUCAGAUUGAACGCUGGCGGCAGGCCUAACACAUGCAAGUCGAGCGGUAGCACAGAGAGCUUGCUCUCGGGUGACGAGCGGCGGACGGGUGAGUAAUGUCUGGGAAACUGCCUGAUGGAGGGGGAUAACUACUGGAAACGGUAGCUAAUACCGCAUAACGUCGCAAGACCAAAGUGGGGGACCUUCGGCCUCAUGCCAUCAGAUGUGCCAGAUGGGAUUAGCUAGUAGGUGGGGUAACGGCUCACCUAGGCGACGAUCCCUAGCUGUCUGAGAGGAUGACCAGCCACACUGGAACUGAGACACGGUCCAGACUCCUACGGGAGGCAGCAGUGGGGAAUAUUGCACAAUGGGCGCAAGCCUGAUGCAGCCAUGCCGCGUGUGUGAAGAAGGCCUUCGGGUUGUAAAGCACUUUCAGCGGGGAGGAAGGCGGUGAGGUUAAUAACCUCAUCGAUUGACGUUACCCGCAGAAGAAGCACCGGCUAACUCCGUGCCAGCAGCCGCGGUAAUACGGAGGGUGCAAGCGUUAAUCGGAAUUACUGGGCGUAAAGCGCACGCAGGCGGUCUGUCAGUCGGAUGUGAAAUCCCCGGGCUUAACCUGGGAACUGCAUUCGAAACUGGCAGGCUAGAGUCUUGUAGAGGGGGGUAGAAUUCCAGGUGUAGCGGUGAAAUGCGUAGAGAUCUGGAGGAAUACCGGUGGCGAAGGCGGCCCCCUGGACAAAGACUGACGCUCAGGUGCGAAAGCGUGGGGAGCAAACAGGAUUAGAUACCCUGGUAGUCCACGCCGUAAACGAUGUCGAUUUGGAGGUUGUGCCCUUGAGGCGUGGCUUCCGGAGCUAACGCGUUAAAUCGACCGCCUGGGGAGUACGGCCGCAAGGUUAAAACUCAAAUGAAUUGACGGGGGCCCGCACAAGCGGUGGAGCAUGUGGUUUAAUUCGAUGCAACGCGAAGAACCUUACCUGGUCUUGACAUCCACAGAACUUUCCAGAGAUGGAUUGGUGCCUUCGGGGAACUGUGAGACAGGUGCUGCAUGGCUGUCGUCAGCUCGUGUUGUGAAAUGUUGGGUUAAGUCCCGCAACGAGCGCAACCCUUAUCCUUUGUUGCCAGCGGUCCGGCCGGGAACUCAAAGGAGACUGCCAGUGAUAAACUGGAGGAAGGUGGGGAUGACGUCAAGUCAUCAUGGCCCUUACGACCAGGGCUACACACGUGCUACAAUGGCAUAUACAAAGAGAAGCGACCUCGCGAGAGCAAGCGGACCUCAUAAAGUAUGUCGUAGUCCGGAUUGGAGUCUGCAACUCGACUCCAUGAAGUCGGAAUCGCUAGUAAUCGUAGAUCAGAAUGCUACGGUGAAUACGUUCCCGGGCCUUGUACACACCGCCCGUCACACCAUGGGAGUGGGUUGCAAAAGAAGUAGGUAGCUUAACCUUCGGGAGGGCGCUUACCACUUUGUGAUUCAUGACUGGGGUGAAGUCGUAACAAGGUAACCGUAGGGGAACCUGCGGUUGGAUCACCUCCUUACCUUAAAGAA
rnacentral:rRNA from 1 species